AUUGAACGCUGGCGGCAUGCCUUACACAUGCAAGUCGAACGGUAACAGGUCUUCGGAUGCUGACGAGUGGCGAACGGGUGAGUAAUACAUCGGGACGUGCCUAGUAGUGGGGGAUAACUACUCGAAAGAGUGGCUAAUACCGCAUGAGAUCUACGGAUGAAAGCAGGGGAUCGCAAGACCUUGUGCUACUAGAGCGGCCGAUGGCGGAUUAGGUAGUUGGUGGGAUAAGAGCUUACCAAGCCGACGAUCUGUAGCUGGUCUGAGAGGACGAUCAGCCACACUGGGACUGAGAAACGGCCCAGACUCCUACGGGAGGCAGCAGUGGGGAAUUUUGGACAAUGGGCGCAAGCCUGAUCCAGCAAUGCCGCGUGCAGGAUGAAGGCCUUCGGGUUGUAAACUGCUUUUGUACGGAACGAAAAGCCCCGGGUUAAUACCCUGGGGUCAUGACGGUACCGUAGGAAUAAGCACCGGCUAACUACGUGCCAGCCGCCGCAGUAA
rnacentral:rRNA from 1 species